rnacentral:rRNA from 1 species
CUUGAGCUUGAUCCCUGGCUCAGGAUGAACGCUGGCGGCGUGCUUAACACAUGCAAGUCGAACGAUGACCCGGUGCUUGCACCGGUGAUUAGUGGCGAACGGGUGAGUAACACGUGAGUAACCUGCCCUUAACUCUGGGAUAAGCCUGGGAAACUGGGUCUAAUACCGGAUAUGACUCCUCAUCGCAUGGUGGGGGGUGGAAAGCUUUAUUGUGGUUUUGGAUGGACUCGCGGCCUAUCAGCUUGUUGGUGAGGUAAUGGCUCACCAAGGCGACGACGGGUAGCCGGCCUGAGAGGGUGACCGGCCACACUGGGACUGAGACACGGCCCAGACUCCUACGGGAGGCAGCAGUGGGGAAUAUUGCACAAUGGGCGCAAGCCUGAUGCAGCGACGCCGCGUGAGGGAUGACGGCCUUCGGGUUGUAAACCUCUUUCAGUAGGGAAGAAGCGAAAGUGACGGUACCUGCAGAAGAAGCGCCGGCUA